rnacentral:rRNA from 1 species
UCCGGUUGAUCCCGCCGGACCCGACUGCUAUCAGAAUAGGACUAAGCCAUGCGAGUUAACGUAGCAAUACGUGGCAUACGGCUCAGUAACACGUAGUCAACAUGCCCAGGGGACGUGGAUAACCUCGGGAAACUGAGGAUAAACCGCGAUAGGUCAUAAUGUCUGGAAUGAUUUAUGGCUCAAAUCUACAUGGUCCCUGGAUUGGACUGCGGCCGAUCAGGCUGUUGGUGAGGUAAUGGCCCACCAAACCUGUAGCCGGUACGGGCUCUGAGAGGGGGAGCCCGGAGAUGGGUACUGAGAAAAGGACCCAGGCCCUAUGGGGCGCAGCAGGCGCGAAACCUCUGCAAUAGGCGAAAGCCUGACAGGGUUACUCUGAGUGACUUUCGCUAAGAAAGUCUUUUGACACCUCUAAAAAUGGUGUAGAAUAAGGGGUGGGCAAGUCUGGUGUCAGCCGCCGCGGUAAUACCAGCGCCCCGAGUGGUCGGGACGAUUAUUGGGCCUAAAGCAUCCGUAGCCGGUCCUGCAAGUCCUCCGUUAAAUCCACCCGCUCAACGGUUGGGCCGCGGGGGAUACUACAGGGCUAGGAGGCGGGAGAGGCAAGCGGUACUCGAUGGGUAGGGGUAAAAUCCACUGAUCCAUUGAAGACCACCAGUGGCGAAGGCGGCUUGCCAGAAUGCGCUCGACGGUGAGGGAUGAAAGCUGGGGGAGCAAACCGGAUUAGAUACCCGGGUAGUCCCAGCCGUAAACGAUGCAGACUCGGUGAUGGGUUGGCUUCGAGCUAACCCAGUGCCGCAGGGAAGCCGUUAAGUCUGCCGCCUGGGUAGUACGGUCGCAAGACUGAAACUUAAAGGAAUUGGCGGGGGAGCACCACAAGGGGUGAAGCCUGCGGUUCAAAUGGAUUCAACGCC